CCGAGUUUACAACUCCCAAACCCCUGUGAACAUACCUAUACGUUGCCUCGGCGGAUCAGCCCGCGCCCCGUAAAAAGGGACGGCCCGCCCGAGGACCCCUAAACUCUGUUCUUAGUGGAACUUCUGAGUAAAACAAACAAAUAAAUCA
rnacentral:misc_RNA from 1 species